rnacentral:rRNA from 1 species
AAUAUUGGACAAUGGGGGCAACCUUGAUCCAGCCAUGCUGCGUGUGUGAAGAAGUUCUUCUGAUUGUAUAGCACUUUAAGUUGGGAGGAAGGGCUUUAGGUUAAUACCCUGUAGUUUUGACGUUACCAUCAGAAUAAGCACCGGCUAACUCUGUGCAAGCAGCAGCGGUAAUACAGAGGGUGCAAGCGUUAAUCGGAAUUACUGGGCGUAAAGCGCGCGUUGGUGGUUCAGUAAGAUGGGUGUGAAAUCCCCGUGCUUAACCUGGGAACUGCUUUCAUAACUGCUGAGCUAGAGUACGGUAGAGGGUAGUGGAAUUUCCUGUGUAGCGGUGAAAUGCGUAGAUAUAGGAAGGAACACCAGUGGCGAAGGCGACUACCUGGACUGAUACUGACACUGAGGUGCGAAAGCGUGGGGAGCAAAC